rnacentral:lncRNA from 1 species
CAGACAGCAAGUUGUAGACUUCUCAGCCUCCAUAACCAUAGCAAGAGAGCACAAGCAGACAGAGAAGCAGGCAGAGAGAGAGGGAGAAGCAAACUUCUCAGCUGAACAGGGAGCCCGAUGCGGGGCUCGAUCCCAGGUCUCCAGGAUCAUGACCUCAGCCAAAGGUAGGCACUUAACCAACCAAGUCACCCAGGCACCCUGUAACUUGUCUUUUUUGACUGAAGAAAUAAAAGUUAAUACUUACUUGGCCAUGACUAUUAGGAGACCCUAGGUUGACUGAUGGGUUCAUGAGAACAACAACGUACAGUGAUAAAUUUCUGGACGGUG